UAAGACGAGAAGACCCCAUGGAGCUUUAAACCUGACAGCACCCGCUCAUUUUAUACCCCAUUAUUUGCCCGACCCCUGUCUGCUCAGUUUUAGGUUGGGGUGACCACGGAGUAUAAAAUAACCUCCAUGAAGAAGGGGAUAUUUCCCUUAUUAGAGAACCACACUUCCAAGAACUAAUAAAUUAAUUUUCAAUGACCCGAUACCCGAUAAUCGAUCAACGAACCAAGUUACCCUGGGGAUAACAGCGCAAUCCACCCUGAAAGCCCUUAUUAACAGGUGGGUUUACGACCUCNAUGUUGGAUCAGGGUAUCCCAGUGGUGCAGCAGCUACUGAGGGUUCGUUUGUUCAACGAUUAAAACCCU
rnacentral:rRNA from 1 species